UGUAUUUAAGUACAACUACACAUGUUUUUUCUAUGCACUAACACCAACCCACAUAUUCUGGUUAUUAUUUUGUUUACCUAGAUGUGAUGAAAAAAGUUAUCUCAUUUCUUAAUUUGUUUGAAUGAGGGGGAAUGAGAAAACAUAGUUGUCAAUAGUGCCAAAAGAAAACCCCAAAAAGGGUAAUAAAAAACGAUUAAAAACGCAUGUUAUUCGUGCUCGUACAACAAGAAGAAAUCAGAAUGAAUUGGAACAAGCAGCAGCAGCAAUAUCAUCAGAAGCAACAAAUAUACAUUCUUAAAAUUCUACAAAAAAGGAAUCAAAAAAUGCAACCCGCUUCAGAUGACGAUUAGGGUAAUUAUAGUAGUUCAGCUAUAUUUUUACAUAAAUAAUUUAUAUGACACUGCUGAAUACCACACAGAGAUGUGUGAUCACAUGUGGUUAGAAUCUUCACGCGGCCUAUAGCGAGCUCACCACUUUUCACUACUUCUGAGGGUUUCAAAACCUACUGUUUUUUCACCACUUUUGGCUGGCAGGGAAUAUGCUGCAAUACAUACAUCCAUUCAUACAUACACAAAUACACAUAUAUUAGCUAUUUAAUAUAGUUUUCUAAAAUAG